AUGGCUGUCGUCAGCUCGUGUCGUGAGAUGUUCGGUUAAGUCCGCUUAACGAGCGCCAACCCCUACCGCCAGUUGCCAACGGGUAAAGCCGGGGACUCAGGCGGGACUGCCGGCGUAAGCCGAGAGGAAGGCGGGGAUGACGUCAAAUCAGCACGGCCCUUACGUCCAGGGCUACACACGUGUUACAAUGGCCGGUACAGAGGGAGGCGACCCGCGAGGGGGAGCGGAUCCCGAAAGCCGGUCGUAGUUCGGAUCGGGGUCUGGAACCCGACCCCGUGAAGCCGGAUUCGCUAGUAAUCGCGCAUCAGCCAUGGCGCGGUGAAUACGUUCCCGGGCCUU
rnacentral:rRNA from 1 species